UAGCUACAGGCUUAACACAUGCAAGUCGAGGGGCAUUGCAGUGCAGCAAUGCACGGGCGGCGACCGGCGCACGGGUGCGUAACGCGUAUCCAACCUUCCCGUUACUCUUGGAUAGCCUUCCGAAAGGGAGAUUAAUACAAGAUGGUAUCUGAAUUUCGCAUGUUACUCAGAUUAAAGAUUUAUCGGUAACGGAUGGGGAUGCGUGACAUUAGGUAGAUGGCGGGGUAACGGCCCACCAUGCCUACGAUGUCUAGGGGUUCUGAGAGGAAGGUCCCCCACACUGGAACUGAGACACGGUCCAGACUCCUACGGGAGGCAGCAGUGAGGAAUAUUGGUCCAAUGGUCGGAAGACUGAACCAGCCAAGUAGCGUGAAGGAUGAAGGUUCUAUGGAUUGUAAACUUCUUUUAUACCGGAAUAAAGCCCGCUACGUGUAGCGGUUUUGUAAGCACCGUAUGAAUAAGCAACAACUAACUCCCGUGCCCAGCCGCCGCCGGAAUACAGAAGAUGCGAGGGUUAUUCCGGAUUUAUUGGGUUAAAGGGAGCGUAGACGGGGGAUUAAGUCAGUUGUGAAAGGCUGCGCGUUCAACCGCAGCACUGCAGUUGAUACUGGGUUUCCUUGAGUUCGGUUGAGGUAUGUGGAAUUCGUGGGUGUAGCGGUGAAAUGCUUAGAUAUCACGAAGAACUCCGAUUGCGAAGGCAGCAUACUAAGCCGAUACUGACGUUGAGGCUCGAAAGUGUGGGUAUCAAACAGGACUAGAUACCCUGGUAGUCCACACGGUAAACGAUGAAUACUCGCUGUUGGCGAUACAAUGUCAGCGGCCAAGCGAAAGCAUUAAGCAUUCCACCUGGGGAGUACGCCGGCAACGGUGAAACUCAAAGGAAUUGACGGGGGCCCGCACAAGCGGAGGAACAUGUGGUUUAAUUCGAUGAUACGCGAGGAACCUUACCCGGGCUCAAACGUAGCAGGAAUAUGUAUGAAAGUAUAUAGCUAGUAAUAGUCUGCUACGAGGUGCUGCAUGGUUGUCGUCAGCUCGUGCCGUGAGGUGUCGGCUUAAGUGCCAUAACGAGCGCAACCCCCAUUGAUAGUUGCCAUCGAGUGAAGUCGGGCACUCUAUCGAGACUGCCGGCGCAAGCUGCGAGGAAGGCGGGGAUGACGUCAAAUCAGCACGGCCCUUACGUCCGGGGCGACACACGUGUUACAAUGGUGGGUACAGAGGGAAGCUACCUGGCGACAGGAUGCAGAUCUCGAAAACCCAUCCCAGUUCGGACUGGAGUCUGCAACCCGACUCCACGAAGUUGGAUUCGCUAGUAAUCGCGGAUCAGCAUGCCGCGGUGAAUACGUUCCCGGGCCUU
rnacentral:rRNA from 1 species